rnacentral:tRNA from 1 species
UUAAAGAAAUAUCUUAUAAAAAGCUUCUAACUUUUUACAAAGCAUUUAACUGUUUAU